rnacentral:ncRNA from 2 species
UCUGGUGCCAGCAGCCGCGGU